CGGCAACAGCUCAAAUUUAAAAUCUGGCCUCUUCGGGGCCCGAGUUGUAAUUUGUAGAGGAUGUUUUGGGUACCGCACCGGUUUAAAUUUCUUGGAACAGAAUGUCAGAGAGGGUGAGAAUCCCGUC
rnacentral:rRNA from 1 species